AAUCAACGCUGGCGGCGUGCUUAACACAUGCAAGUCACGGGGGCCGCAAGGGUAACCGGCGAACGGGUGCGUAACACGUGAGCGACCUGCCUUUCCGCGGGGGAUAGCCGGCCCAACGGCCGGGUAAUACCGCAUACGCUUCUUCGGCCGCAUGGCGGGGAAGGAAACCUCCGGGGCGGAGAGAGGGGCUCGCGACCUAUCAGCUAGUUGGCGAGGUAACGGCUCACCAAGGCGGCGACGGGUAGCUGGCUGAGAGGAUGGCCAGCCACAUUGGGACUGAGAUACGGCCCAGACUCCUACGGGAGGCAGCAGUGGGAAUAUUGCGCAAUGGCCUAACGGCUGACGCAGCGACGCCGCGUGUGGGAGGA
rnacentral:rRNA from 1 species